rnacentral:pre_miRNA from 1 species
CAACUACUCCCUCUGUCCCAAAUUUCUUGUCUUAGAUUUGUCUAGAUACGGAUGUAUCUAAUACUAAAAUGUGACUUGAUACAUCCGUAUCUAGAGAAAUCUAAGACAAGAAUUUUGGGACUGAGGGAGUACUUC